rnacentral:tRNA from 1 species
GUUUUAAUAGUUUAAAUAAAACAUUGGUCUUGUAAACCAAAGAUAAGAUGUACUUUUAAAACU